rnacentral:lncRNA from 1 species
UUAUAGGAGUUAAAUUUGACAUUUUGCAGUUUUCUGCAGUUUAUCAUUUAAUUUUUUUCUUGGACCUUUAAAAUAAAAAACUAAUAGCUGAAAAAAUAGCUAUUCCUUCUCAGCUGUGUUUUAGACUUGUGAAAUAUUUUGAUAGAUUUUAUUACUUAAAGUCAUUUAGAUGCCUUUACUUGAAAAUAAGAACUCUGACUUAGUUUUUAGUUACAUUUUAAACACUAGAACUUUAGAGUAUAGCUAGAAGUAAGCCAUGCUGAAGAUUGUGGAAUGCUUUUCAGGGCAAUUCAAGUGACCUCAUUUUUGUUCUUUUUGGAUUCAAGACAGUAUUUCUGUCAUUGGAUCUCUGAUUUGUAGCAUUAAUAAAUAUUCUGUCAGUGUGAGCCAAAUUCAUGACAUUAAUUUUCUAUAUUUUAGCAGUAAAAAGCAGUAAAAUAGCUUUUC